UCCUGAUGGAAGUAUUACUGGAUUGGUCUUACCUGCGAUGACAUGGUUGGUGAAGGGUCUUCUGUAUUCUCUAUAUUCUGAAAGAGAAAUGAUUCAGAUGAAAGGAAAGAAGAAGUGAUACCAAGUUGCAACGAUGGAUGUGAUAGCACCGAAGGAGGCAAUUCCCUGACCCAAGCCUGCCACUCUCGUCUUCUAGCUCCUCACUCCAUUUUGACCAUGAUGUGCACAUCCAUACCCAUUUAUAUGGGUAUGACGACCUUGUUUCUGCAAUCCAAGCUCUGUCAAUACUCAGGACUGAGUCUUACACCAUCAGCGUUUCUGGUUCUCAGGACUCACACUGAAAUUUAUACCUCUGGCUUUUGUGAGUCUCCAGCUUGCAGAAGGCAGCUCUUGAGACUUCCGUUUCCAUAACCACAUAAGGACUGAGCUCUAUGUAAUUGUGUUUUGAAGUCUGGAAAAUAAGGAGGAGCUAGCAAAGGAAUUGAGAAGUGAUGAACUAGAAUGAGGAAUAAACAAAAUG